GGAUUCAGCCACCUUCUGGAUCCUAUUGGCCAGGAUCUUUGCAAUGAACUUGUAGAGAAGAUUGCAAAGGGAGAUAGGCCUGAAAUCAGAGAGAGAGGUAGCCCCAUCUUUUUUAGGGAUGAGGCAGA